rnacentral:rRNA from 1 species
GAUGUAGCAAUACAUUGGUGGCGACCGGCGCACGGGUGAGUAACGCGUAUGCAACCUACCUAUCAGAGGGGAAUAACCCGGCGAAAGUCGGACUAAUACCGCAUAAAACAGGGGUUCCACAUGGAAAUAUUUGUUAAAGAAUUAUCGCUGAUAGAUGGACAUGCGUUCCAUUAGAUAGUUGGUGAGGUAACGGCUCACCAAGUCCACGAUGGAUAGGGGUUCUGAGAGGAAGGUCCCCCACACUGGUACUGAGACACGGACCAGACUCCUACGGGAGGCAGCAGUGAGGAAUAUUGGUCAAUGGGCGAGAGCCUGAACCAGCCAAGUCGCGUGAAGGAUGAAGGAUCUAUGGUUUGUAAACUUCUUUUAUAUGGGAAUAAAGUGAGGAACGUGUUCCUUUUUGUAUGUACCAUAUGAAUAAGCAUCGGCUAACUCCGUGCCAGCAGCCGCGGUAAUACGGAGGAUGCGAGCGUUAUCCGGAUUUAUUGGGUUUAAAGGGUGCGUAGGUGGUUAAUUAAGUCAGCGGUGAAAGUUUGUGGCUCAACCAUAAAAUUGCCGUUGAAACUGGUUGACUUGAGUAUAUUUGAGGUAGGCGGAAUGCGUGGUGUAGCGGUGAAAUGCAUAGAUAUCACGCAGAACUCCGAUUGCGAAGGCAGCUUACUAAACUAUAACUGACACUGAAGCACGAAAGCGUGGGGAUCAAACAGGAUUAGAUACCCUGGUAGUCCACGCAGUAAACGAUGAUUACUAGCUGUUUGCGAUACACAGUAAGCGGCACAGCGAAAGCGUUAAGUAAUCCACCUGGGGAGUACGCCGGCAACGGUGAAACUCAAAGGAAUUGACGGGGGCCCGCACAAGCGGAGGAACAUGUGGUUUAAUU